rfam:Anopheles dirus strain WRAIR2 unplaced genomic scaffold supercont1.14, whole genome shotgun sequence.
AAAACGGUCCUUUUCAGGACUACAAAUACAGUUUUUAAACGAAUU